UUUCUCGUUGAGCUCA
rnacentral:sRNA from 1 species